UACGUAGGGGGCAAGCGUUGUCCGGAUUUAUUGGGCGUAAAGAGCGCGUAGGCGGCUUGACAAGUCUGCUGUGAAAACUCGAGGCUCAACCUCGAGCUGUCGGUGGAAACUGUCUGGCUAGAGUCCGGAAGAGGAGAGUGGAAUUCCUGGUGUAGCGGUGAAAUGCGCAGAUAUCAGGAAGAACACCUAUGGCGAAGGCAGCUCUCUGGGACGGUACUGACGCUGAGACGCGAAAGCGUGGGGAGCAAACAGG
rnacentral:rRNA from 1 species